AUAUAAGCAAAAAUUUGAUUUUUAGAUUCAUUCAUUAAAUGACGUAUGUAGUCUAUAAUAAAGUCCACAUACGUUAUUUAAUAAAUGAAUCUAAAAAUCAAAUUUUUCCUUAUAU
rfam:Medicago truncatula strain A17 chromosome 7, whole genome shotgun sequence.